UGGUUUCAAGUACUUUCUAAAAGUCUAUAUUUAUCCACUCUGGGUUCAUGGAGAGAAGACACUGAGGGAAUCUAACCUAAAAGGAAAUGUAAUUCUAACAACCUCUGCCUUGUUUCCAAUUCAAUGCUGCUUCCUGAUUUUGUGAUUUCACAGACAAAUUUCCAGUGAAGCCAAUGAGUCCUCCAGGGAAUCAAAGGAGACUGAUGAUUCUGAAAAGUGCCCAGGCCCAGCCCCAAGACAGCAGAAAUAGGCUCCAUCAUCCUGCAGCCCUGACUCAUUUCUCCAACCUGGGAAAGUUUAGAUAAGCAAGAACCAGAAACAACUGAACCCAAUAACACAGAAUUAGGAGAAAUCUGAGAAGACAAAGUAUGUAGGAAAGAAUUCCCUAGCUGAGAAGAUCUUUUGGGAAAACUGGAAGGCAGUUUGGCAAAAAUUAGGUUUAGACUGACACAUUACAUACACCACAUAGCACAAUAAGGUCGAAAUGGGUGUGACCUGAAUAUAAAAAGUCACACCACAAAAAAAAUGAGAAGACAUUAAGAUCAGGUUCCUUUCACAAUUCUGGCUAGGGGGAGAAGGCAUGGAACAGUCCCCCCCCCCCCAAUAGAUCCUUUUGAUUACAUGAAAUUGAAACUCUUGGGUGAAGACAAUCACCCCCACUAAGAUAAAAAAGGAAACCUUCCCCUGAGCAUCAAGUAUUUCUGAUUAGUGUCUGAUAUCUAAGAUAUACAGGGAACUAAAGCAAAUAUUUACCAUAUAAGCUCCACCCCAAUAGAGAACUGGUCAACUAGUCUGAACAAAUAGUUCUCAAAAGAAGGAUUACAAACUAUUUAUAUUCAUGUGAAAGAUUGUUCAAAUUUGCUAACAAUAGUUAAAAUACAAAUAAAAAACUUCUGAGGUGAUUUUUGGCUAAUAAUAAAUUGGAAAAUGAAAAAAGUAUGGAAAGAGUCAAUGUUGGAGGUGCUGUGGAAAGACAGAAAUGCUACCAUACAGUUGGGUGGAGCUAAUUGCCCCAAACAUUUUGGAAAGCAAUUUGGAAUUAAAAUAAAACUAGUGACAAAAUGGCCUUACCCUUGGACCCAGAGACACUUUGACCAAGGAGGUCAAAGGUACAAAAGGGUCUCAUUUAUAUCAAAACAGUCCCAGCAGUAUUUUCCAUGAAAGCAAAGAACUGGAAACAAAAUAGUUGUUCAUAUACCACAGGGUUUCUGUGAGGAUCACAUAAUUACUAUUCAAUAUGUAAUCCUGCCUUAUUGAUGGAAUCUGUCUAAGACUGUCUUCCUAGCACAGUACACUGGCUGGACCCAUUUAAUUAACGAACUGUUAGACUGUCAGAACUGCCCCUUUCAUUCUGAAUUCUAAGUUCUAAGUUCUAUGGUCAAAUAUGGACAUUGGGUUCAAAUCCAAUCACUUAUGCUUAGCACCUAUGUGACCUUACACAUGUCACUUACAUUUUCUCUGCCUUAGUUUUAUCAUUUCUAAAAUAAGGGUGUUUGAACUAGAUGGCCUCUGAGGGUCUUCCCAUUUCUAAUCCUAUGAUUAGGUCCUAUGUAAUGCUGUUGGUUAGAACAAGGAAGCUUGCAUGGCCUGGUGUCAACGAAUACAGCCUCACCUGAGCCCAGGAGAGAUUCCCUAAUUCCAUCCUAUUUACAAGAAAGCUUGUAUUUUUUAGGAUCCUGUAAAGAAUUAAAUCUUUCCUUUUUUGAAGUCA